rnacentral:tRNA from 1 species
GCACCCGUAGCUCAGCUGGAUAGAGCGUCGCCCUCCGGAGGCGAAGGUCACAGGUUCGACUCCUGUCGGGUGCG